rnacentral:snRNA from 1 species
AGCCAUUGUAAAUAAGUCCCA